AUGAUUGGGACAAUUGGAAGUAUAGGCGCUACCGUCUUGACUCCAGGAGAGGUGAUGUUAUCAUUGGCAUUUCUCUUUCUGAUUAACAUGGUGUGGCAGGGGCACGAUGUCGUACAGUGGUUGAGAUGGUUCAUGUUUAGUUUACAAUUUGUUUGGUUUCUGGGCCUAGAGUACUUCUCUGUUUCUGAUCAUAACUCACUGCCCACGUGUUCUUAG
rnacentral:rRNA from 1 species